UACGUAGGGGGCGAGCGUUGUCCGGAUUUAUUGGGCGUAAAGAGCUCGUAGGCGGUUUGGCAAGUCGGGUGUGAAAACUCCGGGCUCAACUCGGAGACGCCACUCGAUACUGCUAUGACUCGAGUCCGGUAGGGGAGUGCGGAAUUCCUGGUGUAGCGGUGAAAUGCGCAGAUAUCAGGAGGAACACCGGUGGCGAAGGCGGCACUCUGGGGCCGGUACUGACGUGAGGAGCGAAAGCGUGGGGAGCGAACAGG
rnacentral:rRNA from 1 species